GAUGAACGCUGGCGGCGUGCCUAAUACAUGCAAGUCGAGCGAACGGACGAGAAGCUUGCUUCUCUGACGUUAGCGGCGGACGGGUGAGUAACACGUGGAUAACCUACCUAUAAUACUGGUAUAACUUCGGGAAACCGUAGCUAAUACCGGAUAAUAUUUUGAACCGCAUGGUUCAAUAGUGAAAGACGGUUUUGCUGUCACUUAUAGAUGGAUCCGCGCUGCAUUAGCUAGUUGUUAAGGUAACGGCUUACCAAGGCAACGAUGCCUAGCCGACCUGAGAGGGUGUUGGGCCACACUGAAACUGAGAAGCGGUCAGGGCUCCUAGGGGAGGCAGAGGAAGGGAAUCUUGCGAAAUGGGGGAAAGACUGACGAAGCAACGCGGCGGGGAUGAAGAAGGUCUGCGGGUGGUAAAACUCUGUUAUAGGGGAAAAACAAAGGUGAAAGUAACGGUGCACAAGUGAAGGGAACCGAAAAAGAAGGCCCGGCCUAACAACGG
rnacentral:rRNA from 1 species